rnacentral:rRNA from 1 species
UGCCUAGGAAUCUGCCUGGUAGUGGGGGAUAACGUUCGGAAACGGACGCUAAUACCGCAUACGUCCUACGGGAGAAAGCAGGGGACCUUCGGGCCUUGCGCUAUCAGAUGAGCCUAGGUCGGAUUAGCUAGUUGGUGAGGUAAUGGCUCACCAAGGCGACGAUCCGUAACUGGUCUGAGAGGAUGAUCAGUCACACUGGAACUGAGACACGGUCCAGACUCCUACGGGAGGCAGCAGUGGGGAAUAUUGGACAAUGGGCGAAAGCCUGAUCCAGCCAUGCCGCGUGUGUGAAGAAGGUCUUCGGAUUGUAAAGCACUUUAAGUUGGGAGGAAGGGUUGUAGAUUAAUACUCUGCAAUUUUGACGUUACCGACAGAAUAAGCACCGGCUAACUCUGUGCCAGCAGCCGCGGUAAUACAGAGGGUGCAAGCGUUAAUCGGAAUUACUGGGCGUAAAGCGCGCGUAGGUGGUUUGUUAAGUUGGAUGUGAAAUCCCCGGGCUCAACCUGGGAACUGCAUUCAAAACUGACUGACUAGAGUAUGGUAGAGGGUGGUGGAAUUUCCUGUGUAGCGGUGAAAUGCGUAGAUAUAGGAAGGAACACCAGUGGCGAAGGCGACCACCUGGACUAAUACUGACACUGAGGUGCGAAAGCGUGGGGAGCAAACAGGAUUAGAUACCCUGGUAG